rnacentral:rRNA from 1 species
CAGUAGCCGCGGUAAAACGGAGGGUGCAAGCGUUACUCGGAAUCACUGGGCGUAAAGGACGCGUAGGCGGAUUAUCAAGUCUCUUGUGAAAUCUAACGGCUUAACCGUUAAACUGCUUGGGAAACUGAUAAUCUAGAGUAAGGGAGAGGCAGAUGGAAUUCUUGGUGUAGGGGUAAAAUCCGUAGAUAUCAAGAAGAAUACCUAUUGCGAAGGCGAUCUGCUGGAACUUAACUGACGCUAAUGCGUGAAAGCGCGGGGAGCAAACAGGAUUAGAUACCCGAGUAGUCCCUGUCUCUUAUAC